rnacentral:rRNA from 1 species
UACGGGGGGGGCAAGCGUUGUUCGGAAUUACUGGGCGUAAAGAGCGCGUAGGCGGAAGCUUAAGUGUGGCCUGAAAGCCCCCGGCUCAACCGGGGAGGGUGGCUGCAAACUGGGCUUCUUGAGGUCGAUAGAGGAGAGCGGAAUUCCUGGUGUAGCGGUGAAAUGCGUAGAUAUCAGGAGGAACACCAGUGGCGAAGGCGGCUCACUGGCCCGGUACUGACGCUGAGGUGCGAAAGCGUGGGGAGCAAACAGG